GAUCAUGGCUCAGGAUGAACGCUAGCUACAGGCUUAACACAUGCAAGUCGAGGGGCAUCAGGAAGAAAGCUUGCUUUCUUUGCUGGCGACCGGCGCACGGGUGAGUAACACGUAUCCAACCUGCCCUUUACUCGGGGAUAGCCGUUUCGAAAAGAAAGAUUAAUACCCGAUGGCAUAAUGAUUCCGCAUGGUUUCAUUAUUAAAGGAUUCCGGUAAAGGAUGGGGAUGCGUUCCAUUAUGUUGUUGGUG
rnacentral:rRNA from 1 species